AGGAGAUUUUUCACCCUGCAAGGGAGAGCUGCCAGCAUGACACCUGUUAUCUGGCUGGGGACAGUCGUGGUAUCCACUUGUCUUGGAUCCAGCGUGGCCCAGACAGUCACUCAGUCUCAACCAGAAACGUCUGUACAGGAGGCAGGGACGGUGACCCUGGACUGUACCUAUGACACUAGAGGUAGUGAUUAUUAUUUAUUCUGGUACAAACAGCCUCCCAGUGGGCAGAUGAUUCUCAUUAUCCGCCAAGAAGCUUAUAAGCAACAGAAUGCAACGGAGAAUCGCUUCUCUGUGAACUUCCAGAAAGCAGCCAAAAUCUUCAGUCUCAAGAUCUCAGACUCACAGCUGGGGGACGCCGCGAUGUACUUCUGUGCUCUCAGGGAGCGCACAGUGAGAGGAGCAACAGGCAGAGGCUGA